UUCCGGUUGAUCCCGCCGGAGGUCACUGCUAUUGGGGUCCGACUAAGCCAUGCGAGUCAAUAGUUCUUCGUGAACUAGGCGGACGGCUCAGUAACACGUGGGUAAUCUACCCUCAGGACAGGGAUAACCCCGGGAAACUGGGGAUAAUACCUGAUAGGUGGAGAGGUCUGGAAUGAUCCUCCGCCCAAAGCUCCGGCGCCUGAGGAUGAGCCUGCGGCCGAUUAGGUUGUUGGCGGUGUGACGGACCACCAAGCCUGAGAUCGGUACGGGCACUGANAUGUGGAGCCCGGAGAUGGGGACUGAGAAACGGCCCCAGGCCCUACGGGGCGCAGCAGGCGCGAAAACUCCGCAAUAUCAGCGAAAGCGACGGGGGGACCCCAAGUGUCAUGCCUUCGGGUAUGACUUUUGCAGAGUGUAAAAA
rnacentral:rRNA from 1 species